GGGCCAGCAGGGAUGGGGAUGAAACAGCAGGGGAGGGCUGGGAUCAGAGGAGGUGGGAUUGGGGGUAGGGUAGCGAGGAAUGGAGGGAUGGGAGAAGGAGAAUGGGGAGAUGGGGAUGAAGAUAGGUGAGGAGGAAUGGGAUCAGAGGAGGGUAGCGGGCAAUGGAGAGACGGGAGAAGGAGAGGGGAGGUGGGGAAGGCGGGAUGGGAUCAGAGGACAGAGGAGGGCGGUGGGUAGCGGGCAAUGGAGAGACGGGAGAAGGAGAGGGGAGGUCGGGAAGGCGGGAUGGGAUCAGAGGACAGAGGAGGGCGGUAGGUAGCGGGGAAUGGACAGACGGCGGCAGGUGGGGAAGGCGGGAUGGGAUCAGGGGACAGAGGAGGGCGGUAGGUAGCGGGGAAUGGAGGGACGGGAAAAGGAGAGGGGAGGUCGGGAAGGCGGGAUGGGAUCAGAGGACAGAGGAGGGCGGUAGGUAGCGGGGAAUGGACAGACGGCGGGAGGUGGGGAAGGCGGGAUGGGAUCAGGGGACAGAGGAGGGCGAUAGGUAGCGGGGAAUGGAGGGACGGGAAAAGGAGAGGGGAGGUGGGGAAGGCGGGAUGGGAUCAGAGGACAGAGGAGGGCGGUAGGUAGCGGGGAAUGGAGGGACGGGAGAAGGAGAGGGGAAGUCGGGAAGGCGGGAUGGGAUCAGAGGACAGAGGAGGGCGGUAGGUAGCGGGGAAUGGAGGGACGGGAGAAGGAGAGGGGAAGUCGGGAAGGCGGGAUGGGAUCAGAGGACAGAGGAGGGCGGUAGGUAGCGGGGAAUGGAGGGACGGGAGAAGGAGAGGGGAGGUCGGGAAGGCGGGAUGGGAUCAGAGGACAGAGGAGAGCGGUAGGUAGCGGGGAAUGGAGGGACGGGAAAAGGAGAGGGGAGGUGGGGAAGGCGGGAUGGGAUCAGAGGACAGAGGAGAGCGGUAGGUAGCGGGGAAUGGAGGGACGGGAGAAGGAGAGGGGAGGUGGGGAAGGCGGGAUGGGAUCAGGGGACAGAGGAGGGCGGUAGGUAGCGGGGAAUGGAGGGACGGGAAAAGGAGAGGGGAGGUUGGGAAGGCGGGAUGGGAUCAGAGGACAGAGGAGGGCGGUAGGUAGCGGGGAAUGGGACGGGAAAAGGAGAGGGGAGGUGGGGAAGUCGGGAAGGGAUCAGAGAACAGAGGAGGGCGGUGGAUAGCGGGGAAUGGAGGGACGGGAAAAGGAGAGGGGAGGUGGGGAAGGCGGGAUGGGAUCAGAGGACAGAGGAGGGCGGUAGGUAGCGGGGAAUGGAGGGACGGGAGAAGGAGAGGGGAGGUCGGGAAGGCGGGAUGGGAUCAGGGGACAGAGGAGGGCGGUAGGUAGCGGGGAAUGGACAGAUGGCGGGAGGUGGGGAAGGCGGGAUGGGAUCAGAGGACAGAGGAGGGCGGUAGGUAGCGGGGAAUGGACAGACGGCGGGAGGUGGGGAAGGCGGGAUGGGAUCAGGGGACAGAGGAGGGUGGUAGGUAGCGGGGAAUGGAGGGACGGGAAAAGGAGAGGGGAGGUGGGGAAGGCGGGAUGGGAUCAGAGGACAGAGGAGGGCGGUGGAUAGCGGGGAAUGGAGGGACGGGAGAAGGAGAGGGGAGGUGGGGAAGGCGGGAUGGGAUCAGAGGACAGAGGAGGGCGGUAGGUAGCGGGGAAUGGACAGACGGCGGGAGGUGGGGAAGGCGGGAUGGGAUCAGGGGACAGAGGAGAGCGGUAGGUAGCGGGGAAUGGAGGGACGGGAGAAGGAGAGGGGAGGUCGGGAAGGCGGGAUGGGAUCAGAGGACAGAGGAGGGCGGUAGGUAGCGGGGAAUGGAGGGACGGGAGAAGGAGAGGGGAGGUGGGGAAGGCGGGAUGGGAUCAGGGGACAGAGGAGGGCGGUAGGUAGCAGGGAAUGGAGGGACGGGAAAAGGAGAGGGGAGGUGGGGAAGGCGGGAUGGGAUCAGAGGACAGAGGAGGGCGGUAGGUAGCGGGGAAUGGAGGGACGGGAGAAGGAGAGGGGAGGUCGGGAAGGCGGGAUGGGAUCAGGGGACAGAGGAGGGCGGUGGAUAGCGGGGAAUGGAGGGACGGGAGAAGGAGAG